UACGGAGGAGGCAAGCGUUAUCCGGAAUUACUGGGCGUAAAGCGCGCGUAGGUGGUUUGUUAAGUUGGAUGUGAAAGCCCCGGGCUCAACCUGGGAACUGCAUUCAAAACUGACAAGCUAGAGUAUGGUAGAGGGUGGUGGAAUUUCCUGUGUAGCGGUGAAAUGCGUAGAUAUAGGAAGGAACACCAGUGGCGAAGGCGACCACCUGGACUGAUACUGACACUGAGGUGCGAAAGCGUGGGGAGCAAACAGG
rnacentral:rRNA from 1 species